rnacentral:ncRNA from 1 species
UAGAGACGAGGUGCCAGCAGCCGCGGUAAUACAGAGGGUGCAAGCGUUAAUCGGAAUUACUGGGCGUAAAGCGCGCGUAGGUGGUUUGUUAAGUUGGAUGUGAAAUCCCCGGGCUCAACCUGGGAACUGCAUUCAAAACUGACUGACUAGAGUAUGGUAGAGGGUGGUGGAAUUUCCUGUGUAGCGGUGAAAUGCGUAGAUAUAGGAAGGAACACCAGUGGCGAAGGCGACCACCUGGACUAAUACUGACACUGAGGUGCGAAAGCGUGGGGAGCAAACAGGAUUAGAACCGUACGGU